UGGGGAAUAUUGGACAAUGGGCGCAAGCCUGAUCCAGCCAUGCCGCGUGAGUGAUGAAGGCCUUAGGGUUGUAAAGCUCUUUCAGUGGGGAAGAUAAUGACGGUACCCACAGAAGAAGCCCCGGCUAACUUCGUGCCAGCAGCCGCGGUAAUACGAAGGGGGCUAGCGUUGUUCGGAUUUACUGGGCGUAAAGCGCACGUAGGCGGUUUGUUAAGUCAGGGGUGAAAUCCCACAGCUCAACUGUGGAACUGCCUUUGAUACUGGCAAGCUAGAGUCCGGAAGAGGUAAGUGGAACUCCUAGUGUAGAGGUGGAAUUCGUAGAUAUUAGGAAGAACACCAGUGGCGAAGGCGGCUUACUGGUCCGGAACUGACGCUGAGGUGCGAAAGCGUGGGGAGCAAACAG
rnacentral:rRNA from 1 species